rnacentral:rRNA from 1 species
GACGAACGCUGGCGGCGUGCUUAACACAUGCAAGUCGAACGGAAAGGCCCUGCUUUUGUGGGGUGCUCGAGUGGCGAACGGGUGAGUAACACGUGAGUAACCUGCCCUUGACUUUGGGAUAACUUCAGGAAACUGGGGCUAAUACCGGAUAGGAGCUCCUGCUGCAUGGUGGGGGUUGGAAAGUUUCGGCGGUUGGGGAUGGACUCGCGGCUUAUCAGCUUGUUGGUGGGGUAGUGGCUUACCAAGGCUUUGACGGGUAGCCGGCCUGAGAGGGUGACCGGCCACAUUGGGACUGCGAUACGGCCCAGACUCCUACGGGAGGCAGCAGUGGGGAAUCUUGCACAAUGGGCGGAAGCCUGAUGAGGCAACGCCGCGUGCGGGAUGACGGCCUUCGGGUUGUAAACCGCUUUAGCCUGUGACGAAGCGUGAGUGACGGUAAUGGGUAAAGAAGCACCGGCUAACUACGUG